rnacentral:rRNA from 1 species
UACGUAGGGGCCUAGCGUUGUCCGGAAUUAUUGGGCGUAAAGAGCUCGUAGGCGGUUCGGCAAGUCGGAUGUGAAAACUCAGGGCUCAACCCGGAGACGCCAUCCGAUACUGCUGUGACUUGAGUCUGGUAGGGGAACACGGAAUUCCUGGUGUAGCGGUGAAAUGCGCAGAUAUCAGGAGGAACACCGAUGGCGAAGGCAGUGUUCUGGGCCAGUACUGACGCUGAGGAGCGAAAGCGUGGGGAGCAAACAGG